UACAGAGGCCCCGAGCGUUAGUCGGAAUCACUGGGCUUAAAGGGUGCGUAGGCGGGUUAUUAAGUCAGUGGUGAAAGCCUUCAGCUUAACUGAAGAAUUGCCAUUGAUACUGAUGAUCUUGAGUACGAUUGAGGUAGGCGGAAUGUGUCAUGUAGCGGUGAAAUGCUUAGAUAUGACACAGAACACCGAUUGCGAAGGCAGCUUACUAAGUCGUAACUGACGCUGAUGCACGAAAGCGUGGGGAGCAAACAGG
rnacentral:rRNA from 1 species